GAUGAAGAACGCAGCGAAAUGCGAUAAGUAAUGUGAAUUGCAGAAUUCAGUGAAUCAUCGAAUCUUUGAACGCAUCUUGCGCUCCUUGGUAUUCUGAGGAGCAUGCCUGUUUGAGUGUCAUUAAAUUCUCAACUACACUGACUUUGAAUUGGUGUGGCUUGGAUUUGGGGGGAAAUUUGUUGUGGGCUUUUUGUAUAGUCUGCUCCCCUGAAAUUGAUUAGCGGUACCUUUGUGGAACUGUCUACAGGUGUGAUAAUUAUCUACAUCUUAGACAUCUGCUGGAAUGCUGCUUUCUAAACCUUACUUGUAUUGACAAUCUUGACCUCAAAUCAGGUAGGACUACCCGCUGAACUUAAGCAUAUCAAUAAGCGGAGGA
rnacentral:misc_RNA from 1 species